rnacentral:rRNA from 1 species
CGGGUGAGGCGCCGGUCUAAGUCCCUUGGAACGGGGCGUCAUAGAGGGUGAGAAUCCCGUAUGUGACCGGCGAUCGAGCCCAUGUGAAACUCCUUCGACGAGUCGAGUUGUUUGGGAAUGCAGCUCAAAAUGGGUGGUAAAUUUCAUCUAAAGCUAAAUACCGGCCAGAGACCGAUAGCGCACAAGUAGAGUGAUCGAAAGAUGAAAAGCACUUUGGAAAGAGAGUCAAAAAGUACGUGAAAUUGUUGAAAGGGAAGCGCUUGCAACCAGACCUGCCCGCGGGUGAUCAACCGUCCUUCUGGGCGGUGCACUUGCCCGUGAUCAGGCCAGCAUCGGUUCGGGCGGCCGGAUAAAGGCCUCGGGAACGUAGCUCCUUUCGGGGAGUGUUAUAGCCCUUGGUGCAACGCGGCCAGCCUGGACCGAGGACCGCGCUUCGGCUAGGAUGCUGGCGUAAUGGUUGUAAGCGGCCCGUCUUGAAACACGGACCAAGGAGUCUAACAUCUAUGCGAGUGUUUGGGUGUCAAACCCAUACGCGUAAUGAAAGUGAACGGAGGUGGGAACCCGUGAGGGCGCACCAUCGACCGAUCCAGAUGUCUUCGGAUGGAUUUGAGUACGAGCAUAGCUGUUGGGACCCGAAAGAUGGUGAACUAUGCCUGAAUAGGGUGAAGCCAGAGGAAACUCUGGUGGAGGCUCGCAGCGGUUCUGACGUGCAAAUCGAUCGUCAAAUUUGGGUAUAGGGGCGAAAGACUAAUCGAACCAUC